rnacentral:rRNA from 1 species
UACGUAGGGGGCGAGCGUUAUCCGGAUUUACUGGGCGUAAAGCGCGUUAAGGCGGUUGGCAAAGUUGGUUGUGAAAUCUCAGGGCUCAACCCUGAAAUUGCGACCAAUACUGGUCGACUAGAGUACGAGAGAGGAAGGUGGAAUUCCCGGUGUAGUAGUGAAAUGCGUAGAUAUCGGGAGGAACACCAGUGGCGAAGGCGGCCUUCUGGCUCGUAACUGACGCUGUAGCGCGAAAGCGUGGGGAGCGAACCGG